rnacentral:rRNA from 1 species
AUUGAACGCUGGCGGCAGGCCUAACACAUGCAAGUCGAACGAGUGGCGGACGGGUGAGUAAUGUCUGGGAAACUGCCUGCUGGAGGGGGAUAACUACUGGAAACGGUAGCUAAUACCGCAUACCAUCAGAUGUGCCCAGAUGGGAUUAGCUUGUUGGUGGGGUAACGGCUCACCAAGGCGACGAUCCCUAGCUGGUCUGAGAGGAUGACGAGCCACACGGGAACUGAGGAAGGUGCCAGAUCCCUACGGGAGGCAGCAGUGGGGAAUAUUGCACAAUGGGCGCAAGCCGGAUGCAGCCAUGCCGCGUGUAUGAAGAAGGCCGUCGGGUUGUAAAGUACUUUCAGCGGGGAGGCGUUACCCGCAGAAGAAGCACCGGCUAACUCCGUGCCAGCAGCCGCGGUAAUAC